rnacentral:rRNA from 1 species
CUACGGGUGGCUGCAGUGGGGAAUAUUGCACAAUGGAGGAAACUCUGAUGCAGCAACGCCGCGUGGAGGAUGACACUUUUCGGAGCGUAAACUCCUUUUAUAUAGGAAGAAGAUGACGGUACUAUAUGAAUAAGCGCCGGCUAACUCCGUGCCAGCAGCCGCGGUAAUACGGAGGGCGCAAGCGUUACUCGGAAUCACUGGGCGUAAAGAGCGUGUAGGCGGAUUAAUAAGUCAGAAGUGAAAUCCUAUAGCUUAACUAUAGAACUGCUUCUGAAACUCUUAAUCUAGAAUGUGGGAGAGGUAGAUGGAAUUUCUGGUGUAGGGGUAAAAUCCGUAGAGAUCAGAAGGAAUACCGAUUACGAAGGCGAUCUACUAGAACAUUAUUGACGCUGAGACGCGAAAGCGUGGGGAGCAAACAGGAUUAGAUACCCCGGUAGUC